rnacentral:misc_RNA from 1 species
UCCGUGUUAACCACGGCAGUCCCUCUAGAGUGCCCAACUUAAUGCUGGCAACUAAAGGCAAGGGUUGCGCUCGUUGCGGGACUUAACCCAACAUGUCACCACACGAGCUGACGACAGCCAUGCAGCACCUGUCUCCCGGUUGUAUUGCUACAAAAGACGUAUUUCUACGUUUGUCCGGGGAUGUCAAACCCAGGUAAGGUUUUGCGCGUUGCUUCGAAUUAAACCACAUGAUCCACCGCUUGUGCGGGCCCCCGUCAAUUCCUUUGAGUUUUAGCCUUGCGGCCGUUCUCCCCAGGCGGAGAACUUAUCGCGUUAGCUUCGCUACUUGCCAUUUUAAAAUGACCAACAGCUAGUUCUCAUCGUUUACGGCGUGGACUAC